GAAACCAAGGAGAAACGUGAAGUCUAAAAUCUGCCCUGCAUCAGUCUCAACCCCCAAGUCAAGGAAUGUAAAAGCUGAAAUCCAGUAACACCUGACUGCGGUGGAGAGGGGCAUCCUGAUAGCUGAUUGGCCGUGGGAAGGAUCCUGAAGGAGGCCGCGGCCUUCCCCUGCACCAGGCCCGGCCAGGAUUCAGCAGCAGCUUUCCAGCUGCUACCGGCACCGGGGGAGGGAACUCCCGGCCCACGGACCCACCCCCGGAGCGAGCCUUGACGUCUCCCGGAAUUCACAGCUCCUCUCCCUCCCUGCUGGGCUCCCGCGAGCAGCACGCACCCAAGCUCUGAUGCUGCGGGCGGCCGCCGGGAGCAAACGCCCAGGGCCUGUGCACGACUCCCGGGGCUUCCCGCGGAAGCUGAUUGGCAAGAGGCGACGGCGGGGGGUAGGGGGUGUUCCCUGCAGCGGUGGUAACCCGCGCCCUGCCUCCUCGGCCUCCGCCGGGGUAAAAGAGGACUGUAAAAUUCCGGAAGAGAGAUUAGAGGCCGCGGAUGGGUGGGGCGGUGAAUCAGUACAUUCCUUCCUCCCUCUGCCUGCCUCCCCCUCCCCGGUUAUCACUUGGGGUGGGGGUGGGGGUUGAGCCCUCUCUUGGCCUUCUCCUGACCAGUCCUCUAGCAGGGUCCAGACAAGCUAAGCAGCGCUGGGAGGAAACUUACCGGGCUCAGCUGAACUUUGGAGAGCCUGGAUCACUUAUUUUGCAGCUCAUGACCCCAUCUGGUUUCGGGUUGGGAAAUUUUGGUCGUUGCUUCCAACUGAGUCCUUUCCAUAAGAGUAGUUCACAGGCUUGUCUGUGGGUCUGUCAGUAGCUCCCACUUAUUGGGCAAGUCCCUCCUCUGAGGCCGAGCCUGGGCUGCAUCAGGCUGUUUUUUCUUCCUAAAACUUUGCAGUGUAGGCAUACCUUAUUUCAUGUUAGCCAGUCAAGAAAUCAGAAAGCUCAGAGAGGUUAGGUAACUUGCCCAAGGUCACAAAGUGGUGAGCCAGGAAUAAUUCCAGCUCUAUUGGUUUGGUAAAUUUCCCACCACACCCUGCAGCUUCCUCUAGACAUUGAAAGGCAAGACUUAUUGGGGGGAGGGAAGUGUAACAACUAUGGACUACCUCCCAACCUGCUAAGAACUUUAAAUACGUUGUAUUUAAUGAUAUAAUUUUUUCACAAGCACUCCCUGAGAUAAAGGUGAUCACCAUGGCCAUAUUACAUAGGAGGCAACGUUAGAAGUUAGGAAUUUGAGGGGCAGAGCUGGGGUUCCUGUACAGUAAUAGUGCAAAACCACUGUUAAUGUCUGUUUAGUGCUUGACAGUUAUAAAGCACUUUCAAGAUCUUCAUUUUAGAGCUAUCCCAUUUUGCAGAUGAGGAUAGAGGUUUAUUCCUGAAGUUAAGCCAUCUGGCCAAGGUCACAAAGCUAAUAGCAAACAGCAGAGCCUGUAGUUUUGAAAUAAACCCUAUAGAGCUAGUAGUAGCAAAGCUCAUCCCAUUUAUUUUCACAGUGCUGAGUAUCAUUCUAAUCACUGUAAUAAUAGCUAACAUUUAUUGAACAUUUACUAUGAGUCCAGUAUGGUGCUACCUGUGUCAUAACUAACUCUUGUCAUGCUCAAAACUAUGUAAUGAGGUAAGUACUGUUUCCUUUUCCAUCUUACAAAUGGAGAACUUGAGACUAGAUUAAGUAAUUUCCCCAAGUUACACAGCAACUUAAUAGCAAUUCAAGGAUGCCUGAUAACACAGUCUGGAGUCCCAGGGAGGGAACCAGGCACCUGGGUUGCAUCCCUACUUGUGAAUAAAACCACUUCCCUAAG